CCCGCGCCCCGUCGAGGACGCACUGCAGCAGGCGGCCCUCCCGCUGCGCUCGGAGCCAGCCCUGCGGGCACAGGGCUGUCAGCGGCCGCACCGGGAACCGAGCACCGGGAACCGGGAACCAGAUACUGGUGUGGUUGAAGUCUCCCAUGAGGACCAGGACCUGUGAACAUGAAGUUGCUCUUUCCUGUCUGCAGAGGAAACAAACUGAAUAAAGAAUUCAGUGUAUUGCCAAAGACGUUCUACUGCAAACUCUGAACACUAUGAAAAAGCUUUUAACUUUGAAGGAACAAGUGAGUGCCUGAGCAACCACUGGCCUGAACACAAUCAUACAAGAGGCAAAGUGUACAUCCUGAGCAUUCAAUCAUUCACUCAUGCCUGUGUUCAG